GUCUGUUUUGAUAAAGAAUGGUCUAAUUUUCGAGGCGUUUCAAUUUCAGCGCGAAUGUCGUGACCCAGUUAGAAGAGAAGAGCUCCUGCACUAUUUCUUUAUGGGAUGUCAUGAAUGCAAGAGUAUGAACAAGAUUUUAAAACUUCCUUUGGGUAAAGUUGAAGAGG